GAUGAACGCUGGCGGCGUGCCUAAUACAUGCAAGUCGAGCGAACGGACGAGAAGCUUGCUUCUCUGAUGUUAGCGGCGGACGGGUGAGUAACACGUGGAUAACCUACCUAUAAGACUGGGAUAACUUCGGGAAACCGGAGCUAAUACCGGAUAAUAUUUUGAACCGCAUGGUUCAAAAGUGAAAGACGGUCUUGCUGUCACUUAUAGCUGGAUCCGCGCUGCAUUAGCUAGUUGGUAAGGUAACGGCUUACCAAGGCAACGAUGCAUAGCCGACCUGAGAGGGUGAUAGGCCACACUGGAACGGAGACACGGUCCAGACUCCUACGGGAGGCAGCAGUAGGGAAUCUUCCGCAAUGGGCGAAAGCCUGACGGAGCAACGCCGCGUGAGUGAUGAAGGUCUUCGGAUCGUAACACUCUGUUAUUAGGGAAGAACAUAUGUGUAAGUAACUGUGCACAUCUUGACGGUACCUAAUCAGAAAGCCACGGCUAACUACGUG
rnacentral:rRNA from 1 species